rnacentral:lncRNA from 1 species
CAGCACCCCUGCCUCAUUAACCAGAUGGCUGGGAUAAGACUCUUGGUUUUGAAAAUUCAACAACCAGAGUUCAGCUAUUUGCAGUGAUAUGCAGUCAUUUGUCACUAUCAAAAAGGAAAAUAACUAAAAUGUGGUGUGUUGGCAUUAGUUACUUACUAAUGAGCAAGAUCAGCACCUGCAUUUCAGCUUGGCUCUGUCAUUUUCUAUUUAUUGGAAGAAUGGUGUUGUGGUUAAGUGUGUGGUGUGUAGAGGAAGACUACUUGUUUUUUUGUCUUGUUUUGUUUUUAUUGAAAUAUAGCAUGCAUACUGAAAAAUGCACAAAUCAUAUGUGCAGAGCUCACUGAAUUUCACAGAAUGAAUACACCCAUGCAAUAGCACUCAGAUCAAGAGACAGAACAUUAGAAGCACCCCCAGAAGGACCACCCCCAGGAUCCCUUCCAGUAACCACAUCCCCUCCAGUAGAAACUAUUAUCCUUACUUCUAACAUCACAGAUUACUUUUGCUUGGUUUUGUAACUUAUAUAAAUGACAUCACACCAUAUCUACUCUUCGUGAUUAUUUUCACUCAACAUUAUGUUUGUGAUAUCCAUUCGUAUUGUUACAAUAGUUGUUGUUGGUUAACUCUCAUUGCUGUAUAGUAUUACAUUGUGUAAAUAUACCACAAUUUAUUUAUUCAAUACAUUCUACUAUUCAUGGUUAUUAGUUUGCAAUUAUUGGCAAUUAUGAAUAAUGCUGCUAUAACCAUUUCUUUAUAUUCUUUGUAGUGAACAUGCAUGUAUUUCUGUUGUUAUAUAUUUAGGAAUGAAACUGCUGGGUCAUUUUGUGUGCAUAUAUUCAAAUAUAAUAGUUGUUGCCAAACACUUUUUCAAAGUGGUUGUACCACUUUGCAUUUCCACCAGCAGUGUAUGAGUGUUCUAGUUGCUCUAAAUUCUCACCAACACUUGGCAUUUUGGUAUUUUUUAUUUUAGCCAAUGUGGUGAUCAUGUGGUGACCUCUCAUUAUGGUUUCCUUUUGCAUUUCUCUGAUGACUAAUGAAAUUGAGAAUCUUUUCAAUAUAUGUUGACUGGCCAUUGUACAUCUUCUUUUGUUUGUCUUUUAGAUGUCUUUUGUCAUUGAUUUGUAAGGGCUCUUUUGUAUUCUGGAUAUGAAUCUUUUGUCAAAUAUAUGCAUUGCAAAUAUAUACUUUUUUACUUAUUGAUAUCUUUAAUUUGUUUUAAGAAAAUUUUUAAUUUUUAUGGAAAUUUUAUAGAAAUGCUGAAAAUCAAACAUUAUCUGCAGUGGUAACAGUCUGACUUCUAAACUGCUAUAUGUAAUAGAAGAACGAUACAUAAUUGUUGUAUAUAUUUAUGAGGUACAUGUAAUAUUUUGAUACAAGCAUAAAAUAUGUAAUGAUUGUUGAUCUCUUUUAAUGAACAGAAUUCCUUAAUCGUAA